GACGAACGCUGGCGGCGUGCUUAACACAUGCAAGUCGAACGGUGAAGCACCUUCCUUUUGGUGGGUGUGGAUGAGUGGCGAACGGGUGAGUAACACGUGAGUAACCUGCCCCCUUCUUCUGGAUAACCGCAUGAAAGUGUGGCUAAUACGGGAUAUUCUGGGUCUGUCGCAUGGCGGGCCUGGGAAAGAUAUUGUUUCGGUGGGGGAUGGGCUCGCGGUCUAUCAGCUUGUUGGUGGGGUGAUGGCCUACCAAGGCGGUGACGGGUAGCCGGCCUGAGAGGGUGGACGGUCACACUGGGACUGAGACACGGCCCAGACUCCUACGGGAGGCAGCAGUGGGGAAUAUUGCACAAUGGGCGCAAGACUGAUGCAGCGUCGCCGCGUGAGGGAUGGAGGCCUUCGGGUUGUAAACCUCUUUCGCCAGUGAAGCAGGCCUGUCCCUUUUGUGGGUGGGUUGACGGUAGCUGGAUAAGAAGCGCCGGCUAACUACGUG
rnacentral:rRNA from 1 species